GACGAACGCUGGCGGCGUGCCUAAUACAUGCAAGUCGAACGCUGAAGCUUGGUGCUUGCACCGAGCGGGUGAGUUGCGAACGGGUGAGUAAAGCGUAGGUAACCUGCCUGGUAGCGGGGGAUAACUAUUGGAAACGAUAGCUAAUACCGCAUAAUAGUAGAUGUUGCAUGACAUUUGCUUAAAAGGUGCCAUUGCAUCACUACCAGAUGGACCUCCGUUGGAUUAGCUAGUUGGUGAGGUAACGGCUCACCAAGGCAACGAUACAUAGCCGACCCGGAUGGGUGAUCGACCCCACUGGGACCUGGACACGGGCCAGGCUCCCACGGGAAGGAGCAGUAGGGGAACUUCGGCAAUUGACGGAAGUCCGGCUGCAGACCGCCGCGUGAGGGAAGGAGGUCUUCGGAGCGUAAAGCUCUUUUGUAAGAGAAGAACGAGUGGGAGAGUGGAAAGUUCACGUUGUGACGGUACCUUAAGAGAAAGCAACGGCUAACUACGUG
rnacentral:rRNA from 1 species